GCUUGCUUUAUAUCAGGUUAGCGGCGGACGUGGUGAGUAACACGUGGGUAACCUGCCCUAUAGACCGGGUAUAACUCGCGGAAACGCGUGCUAAUACCGGAUAACACAGCGGANCGCAUGCUCCGGUGUUGAAAGGUGGUUCUGCUACCGCUAUAGGAUGGGCCCGCGGCGCAUUAGCUNGUUGGUGGGGUAACGGCCUACCAAGGCGACGAUGCGUAGCCGACCUGAGAGGGUGAUCGGCCACACUGGGACUGAGACACGGCCCAGACUCCUACGGGAGGCAGCAGUAGGGAAUCUUCCACAAUGGGCGAAAGCCUGAUGGAGCAACGCCGCGUGAGCGAAGAAGGUCUUCGGAUCGUAAAGCUCUGUUGUAAGGGAAGAACAAGUGCGGUAGUAACUGACCGCACCCUGACGGUACCUUACGAGAAAGCCACGGCUAACUACGUGCCAGCAGCCGCGGUAAUACGUAGGUGGCGAGCGUUGUCCGGAAUUAUUGGGCGUAAAGCGCGCGCAGGCGGUCUCUUAAGUCUGAUGUGAAAGCCCCCGGCUCAACCGGGGAGGGUCAUUGGAAACUGGGAGACUUGAGUGCANGAGAGGGAAGCGGA
rnacentral:rRNA from 1 species